rnacentral:misc_RNA from 1 species
AAAAAUAUUAAAUUAUAUAAUUAAAUAAAAUAAUAAAUAAUUCUUGCAAUGAGGGGGCCGCAUUCUGAGCAUACUAUUACAUCAUACUAUCUUAACGAAGAGAACAAAAAAACACAUCAUAGUGAAAAGAAAAAAAAAUGGUAAUGAUAACCAUUACAUAGCGAACAUUUUCUCAAGGAAAUGGUCUUCAUCAUAUAAUAUUGCAAACCUGCUGCCCCUCGUAAAUGCGGCCAGGCUGCUUCUUAUUUACCACUGGAUUGAUUUAUAUAGUAUAAUACGUAGCCUCUCAUGACCUUCAUCGCUGUUUAUUCAUCGCAGCACUGAUACAUAAUGAACCUCUCCAUGACGCGGCCGCAUUCUGAGCAUACUAUCCUUUCUGGAAUCAGCCCUGCAGCGCCAGGGAGCACCAGCCUAUUGCAGUGAUGUUCAGUGUGAAGAUCUUUAAGUUGAUCUCUAAGUGUUGGCAUGAAACCCUUUUGCUGGAUCUGAUCUUGCCAGGUACUGUAAUUCGUCAGGCAGGUUAAAAAUGGAGCCCCUUUAGCUUUCACCAUCUCAUCUGAACCUCUAGUGAAUAUGGCCCAUCCACCUUGACUGCUAUCGAAGCUGAGCAUUGUCAUGAUCUCCUUCAUUAUGGGAUCAUUUUCUGCGGUUUUUCCUAAUUGAUUCUUCGAGCGCCACAUGCUCUCUAUCCUAACCCAGAAGUACCAGACUGAAGUCAGGUCUUGCCAGUAGUGGCUGAGUUUCUCAACAAUGAUGGCUUCAAUGUUCUUCCGUACUCUAUCCUUUGGGUUGCUCUUUCCUGCAUAAACCAUCCCAAGAGGGAUACCUGCAGCUAGCGCCACUGCUCUUGCAGUGUUGGUAAAUUUUCGAAUCCAAUCCAUGUCCUCCCCUCCAUACAAGCAUAUGUACCUUCCUUCUGUUAUCUGGUGAAGGCAAAGACAAGUCAAUAAGCACAGCUUCAAAAAUUUAGCAUCACAGUCCUGGGUAGAAAUCUAGUAUUAAUGAGCCAAAGUUCCCUACUACUCCAGUACUAAUAUAUUAAUACUAAUUAGUAAAACUAAAUGUACCCAAUUGAGAACUAUUGGAUCAAUGCCAUCCACCAAGAGCUCAAGUCUCCAACUCUCUUCCCUCCAGAGAGCUUCCUCCCUUGUAGUGGUGAAAGGGAAGGCUAGACUGCCCCAAAUCCACAUCAUAUGGAGUGCAUUUGGGCAGGCAACCCGCCCUUGUGGAUCUAGUACCACAAGAAUAGGCUUCUUCCCAAAAUGCCACUCUUCUUUGAUGAACUUGAUCACUGCCCUGUCGAUCAAGGAAGGGUGGUAUAUUGAGUACCAAGUCAUACCAGCCUGCAGAUUCUCGAAUUUCUUUUGCAUAUUAUCAUUCCGCAGUAUAUUUGGGUCAAGAAUUGGGAGCCACACAAUCUCAUACUGACUUUCCUGCUUCGUGGGAUGGAGCCGCGACUCGUUGUAUAUCUGUUCAAGAAUGGCAAUCUCUUCUUGCAAUAUGUCAAGAUCUGAUAUGAGCAGCAGCACAUUUUUUCUCCGCAGGACGUCAAUGUUAACCUGUUUUUUUCAAGCAGAACAUGAAUGGCUAAUUAGACCUGUCACCUGAAAGCUGAUAGUUUGGAGAAUAAUUUGAAUAUUUUGUUAAAGUCAAUUAGAUGAUUCAAAGGGGAAAGUGCAAACCCUCCUUUUGGUGGUUCCUUCAACAAGCGGCAGCAGAUCAUCCUUCGCAUAAAUCAAUGCCUUGAGAACUCUCAUGUUGUCAAUGUGUGCCAUCCCAAACAAAUGUAAAAGGUUCUGGUAAGUUUCCAGGUGUUUCUUUUCAUCAAUAUGCUUAUAACAGAUCCCCAGUUGAGUUGCUAGGUGACUAUGCAUGUUGCUGAGCUUGUGAGUCAAGCUCGACAACUCCCAAGCCUCUGUAGUUGAUGCUAUGUACUCAUGCCCCAGGCCGAUAAGGCCAGUUAUCUGGGAUGCACAAGCCACGACACUUCUGAUUGUCCAGUAGACAGUAAUUGGUAUAUAGGCCAUUGCAGUGGACAAUGCAGUGACAUCCAUUGAAAUGUACUGAGAUGGAAGCUCCUUUAACUCGACAAUGCACUUGGCAAUAUCAAGCAUGACUUUUAUGAGAUUUUUCACAGCAUCGAAACGGGGUUUAAGCAUGCUCGAAUGCUCGAAAAUUUCAGGCAAUUGUUUCAGGAUUGCCACGGAUUUGGCAAGCUGGUUUGAGGUGUAGUUCUGGGCAACCAGCCAGAACUCUCCAUAAUUCAUCGCAAAAGCUGCCAGGGUUAUCACCAGUUUGGCAUCCCACGAAUAGCUAGAUAGCAUGUUCAAUAUUGACAUUGCAGUUGCAUGUGCAUCCGCACCCCCUGAGCAUUUACAUGCUAUCUCACUAGCAACUCGAUCUAUGACAAACGCCAACGAUUCAAGCGUGGCAAUGAAGUGGCCUUGGUAAGCUUUCUCAUCCAGAGCAUCUGCAGUACGUGCUUGAUGAGUGCCCGGCACGGCAAGGGCAUCAAUAGUUGGGGCGGCUCGAUUAAAUAUAUCCUCAACGAGUUGAAGAAGAGGUUUGGCAUCGAACUCACGUCCAUCAGGAGAAUGCGUUGCCUCAAUUUGCUUGGUCAUUGCAUUGUCAUCAGAAGAUGAGAACAUGAGCCUGUCACCUUUCGUCAGUUUCUGCAUACUGGGUGGGAUCUGCCUGGUCAUGGCCAUUCUUAGGCUUAAAAACAAGAGCAGAAGACAGAAAAGAAGGCUUUGGAAAUAUAGC